CGCAUCUGUGCAUGCAGCAUAUCAAUAAGCGGAGGAAAAGAAACUAACAAGGAUUCCCCUAGUAACGGCGAGUGAAGCGGGAAGAGCUCAAAUUUGAAAUCUUAAAGGGUUUCCCUUUACGAAUUGUAGUUUAAAGAAGUGUUUUCUGUUGAGGUUUUGGUAAAAGCUCUUUGGAAUAGGACAUCAUAGAGGGUGAGAAUCCCAGUAUUUGACCUUUACUUUCAACUUUGUGAUACACUUUCAAAGAGUCGGAUUGUUUGGGAAUGCAGUCCAAAAUGGGUGGUAAAUUUCAUCUAAAGCUAAAUAUUGGCGAGAGACCGAUAGCGAACAAGUACCGUGAGGGAAAGAUGAAAAGAACUUUGAAAAGAGAGUUAAACAGUACGUGAAAUUGUCAAAAGGGAAGCGUUUGACACCAGUGUUGUUUUUCUGAAAAUCAAUUAAAGAACUGUUUAUGCUAAGUUGUUUAGACUUUAUCAGCUAACUGUUUAGUUUUGAGCUUUUCUUUAAUGCACUUUUCAGUUAACAAGUCAACAUCAAUUUCUUUUGCUGUAAAAAAGCUUGAGGAAGGUGGCUUGAGAUUCGUCUUAAGUGUUUAUAGCCUCUUGCCUAUGCAGUCGGAGAGAUUGAGGUCUGCAGCGUAGAUCCUUCGGGGCUAAAUGCAUUUGUGCUAAGUUAUAACAUUUUAUAGACAACUUGUUGACUAUGAUUUGUCUUGUAGCUUACUCGCUUAUGUUAUUUUACCUACGCUUAGGAUGUUGACAGCAGUAUAGACUGU
rnacentral:rRNA from 1 species